CCGGCGCCGAAGAACGGCAGAUACUCGCUCAACCCCGCCAGGGCCGAGAGGCAGCAACGGUCGGUGAGUUCCUCUGGGUGUUCCGAGGCGCUAUCAU
rnacentral:SRP_RNA from 1 species